GAUGAACGCUGGCGGCGUGCCUAAUACAUGCAAGUCGAGCGAACAGAUGAGGAGCUUGCUCCUUUGACGUUAGCGGCGGACGGGUGAGUAACACGUGGAUAACCUACCUAUAAGACUGGGAUAACUUCGGGAAACCGGAGCUAAUACCGGAUAAUAUAUUGAACCGCAUGGUUCAAUAGUGAAAGACGGCUUUGCUGUCACUUAUAGAUGGAUCCGCGCCGCAUUAGCUAGUUGGUAAGGUUACGGCUUACCAAGGCAACGAUGCGUAGCCGACCUGAGAGGGGGGUAGGCCACAUGUGAAGUGGAGCGACGGCCAGGAGCCUAAGGGAAGGCGCAGUUGGGAACGUGCCGCAAUGGGGGGAAAGCUGGCGGAAGAACCGCAGGGGGGUGGAGGAAGUGCUCCGGGCGGAAAAACUGGUUUCUAGGGAAAAACCAAUUUGGAAGGUAACGAAGCCGAAUUGACGGGAACGGGUCAAGAAGCCCCGGCUAACUACGUG
rnacentral:rRNA from 1 species